GACGAACGCUGGCGGCGUGCUUAACACAUGCAAGUCGAGCGGAGAGGCCCGGCUUUUGUGGGAUUCUCGAGUGGCGAAAGGGGGAGUGUCACGUGAGUAGCCUGCCCUUUACUUUGGGGGAACUUCAGGGAACUGGGGCUAAUACAGGGUAGAAGCUCCUGCUGCAUGGGGUGGAUGGUAAAGUUUCGGCGGUUGGGGAUGGACUCGCGGCUUAUCAGCUUGUUGGUGAGGUAGUGGAUUACCACGGCUUUGAUGGGUAGCCGGAUUGAGAGGGUGACCGGCCACAAUGGGCCUGAGAUACGGCCAAGAGUGCUACUGGAGGCAUGAGCGAGGAAUAUUGCACAAUGGGCGGAAUCAGGAUGCAGCAACUCCGGGUGCGGGAUGACUGUUUUUGGGGUGUAACCUGCGUUCGCCUGUGACGCACAGCGAGUGACGGUAACGGGCAAAGAAGCAACGGCUAACUACGUG
rnacentral:rRNA from 1 species